rnacentral:tRNA from 1 species
GCCGAGAUGGUGGAACUGGUAGACACGCUGCGCUUAGAACGCAGUGCCCUAUGGUGUGCAGGUUCGAGUCCUGUUCUCGGUA